rnacentral:lncRNA from 12 species
AUUUUUAUUUUAAACGUUUCAUAAGUGCAGCAUCUACAAUUAUUAUUCUUUUUUUUUAAAGAUAGAAAAGUUAAGCUGUGAUAUUGGCUAAUAUUUGGCAAAUAUUUUUCUCUGUUUGUAUAUUUUUUUAUUAGAAUAAUUUUCACUGACAAAUAGUGAAAUUGUCUAUUAUACCCCAAAUUUGUAUUCCACUGUUAGCUUAGCAACAUGCUUACACUAAACCCUUCUGAAAUCAGUUGAGUCUGUAGUCUAAAACAUUAUCUGUGAGUUGCUGCCUAUGUAGAGCUUUUAAAUCAUGCAUGUAUUAAAUAAUGUUCCAUCAGAAGGCACUGUUUAUGUAGUUAGCUGACACUGAGGCAGCACGCUAGGUUUAGAACAGAGCUAAAGUGUCCUUAUUUAAAGUGCCCUCUGUUUCUGCGGCCAUGCAUUUUUAAUGUCUGCUUCUGCCACAGUGAGUAAUUGGUGGACAGAGGGGUUGAAUUGAGCCUCAAGAGACCUUUUCAGUGCACUAUGAAGAGUUUAACUGAUUUUAAAAGUUAACAUGAUUGUCAAAAUUUAUAGCUGACAGAGAAGCUUUUUUAAGUUGUUACGGAAUGGUUAUAAUUUUUGCAGUUUAUGGACUAAAUAGAAAAAAAUUAAAAUAAAAUAGCAGCACUUAACAGCAUGAGCGUGAGUAAAUAAUGCCAAUUUAGAAUUAACUUUCCCUUUUAAAUAUAAUAUACUACAAGCGCUCAGUUUCUACUUUCGGUCUUGAACAAUAUGUAAUCAAAUAAAUCUUUUAUACACUGGAAAAUAAGUGUUUAUUGCGCACUUUGUUAUAUUCUCCAUCCCUUGAUUUGCGAAAUCAGCUUAAAGCAGUUUCUGUGACUUGGCCUCCUUGUUGCUAAGCAAUAGCAGAGCAGUGAAAAUGAGCAUUUGGAAGAUCGCAGACCACUGCGACGGCAACUCUUUAUCUUGGCUCAAACCAUGCCUGCAGCUCUGCAUCUGUUCACGAUUCGUUUCAGUUGCACUCAGACCUCGUCCAAAAAGAUUUCUGAUGUGUGUGUGUGUGAGAAAGACUUUUUCCAGGCAGGGUUCGAGUGGCCCACCAGGUGGAUGCUCCUGUUUGCCAGGUGGGGUUCCCACUGUCACAACCUCAACUCUUUCAGUUAGAGAAACCAGAGAGAUAGCAGACGUGAUAAACAGGGCAACCCCGAUCCCUCCCCCGCAAUAUGAGACAGAGCUGAAGGAUGUGGAGCCUGCUGGGUAUGGAAUGGACCACAUUUGCAACCAUGCGCCGGAUGAAAUCACAUUUAGAUGCUAA